rnacentral:rRNA from 1 species
AUUGAACGCUGGCGGCAUGCCUAACACAUGCAAGUCGAACGGGGUUGGCUUCGGCCAGCCUAGUGGCGGACGGGUGAGUAAUGCGUGGGAAUCUGCCUCGUAGUGGGGGAUAACGUAGGGAAACUUACGCUAAUACCGCAUACGCUCUACGGAGGAAGGGGGGGGGGUCUUCGGACCUCUCGCUAUGAGAUGAGCCCACGUCUGAUUAGCUAGUUGGUGGGGUAAAGGCCUACCAAGGCGACGAUCAGUAGCCGGCCUGAGAGGGUGUACGGCCACACUGGGACUGAGACACGGCCCACACUCCUACGGGAGGCAGCAGUGGGGAAUAUUGAACAAUGGGCGAAAGCCUGAUCCAGCAAUGCCGCGUGUGUAAAGAAGGCCUGCGGGUUGUAAAGCACUUUAAGUGGAGAAGAAUGGGGUUGCGCUAAUACCGUGAUCCUUUGACGUUACCCACAAAAUAAGCACCGGCUAACUCCGUGCCAGCAGCCGCGGUAAUACGGAGGGUGCGAGCGUUAAUCGGAAUUACUGGGCGUAAAGCGCAUGUAGG